UCGUAAAAUGCGUUCAUCCUUGCCGGUUCUGUUUUCCUUCUAGUGCAAGAAUUGUGUUUCAUUUAUUAUGGGUUUUAUGAUUGUGAUUUAUAUAUUACUAGCCAUUAUUGCUGUGGUUAUGAUAAGUUCCUCAUUGUGGCAGUGCUGGGCGUGGCACAAACUGCGUCGCGUGCGCGUCAGGGAACAGGAAGACAACCACAAUAGAAUGAUGGCGGCGCUGUAUGAUGUCCCUGCAACGGGGGAUAAACGUGACGUUCCUUAGCUUCACGUUUAUCCCCCGAAAGUGUACGAGAAAUAGAGGGCUGAUUUAGUGACGUGAUUGUGUAAAUGUGUUAAUCAAGUGUAAACUGCGAGUGGAGACCACGGACUAGCAAGCGCAGCGUAGGAUGUCCACCCACAAGAUGGACAGACGAACUUGUUAAGGUCGCCGGAAGACGCUGGAUGCGGGUCGCUUCCAACCGGCACGUAUGGAGAUCCAAGGGGGAGGCCUAUGUUCAGCAGUGGACGUCUUAUGGCUGAGAGGAUGAUGAUGAUGAUGAAGUGUAAACUAGAUAUAUUAUAGUUUGUCAAACUUUGUCAGUCAGUAUAUAAGAAACAGGAAAACUAUAAGUAUGUAUGUACUCAACCUUUGCUUUUGGGUGUUAGUACUAGUGUAAGACAAAGAUAGUAUGAUUCUCUCUGUCUAUGAUUGAAAUGAGACAGUCCUUUGACAAAUUAUAAGUGAAAAGUCAGCAUCAGUAGUAGGUAGUUGAUAAGACCAACGGCUCGAUUCGGGAAAUUAAUUAGAGAUUCACUAGAUAUGAAAUAGUAAAGAUAUGUGACGUUCCACGGCAAAAGGUACCUUUACUAUAUCGUAUCUAGUUAAUAUCUAAUACGUUUCCCGAAUCGCGCCGUAAAUUAAAGCUACAGUUUUGAAUGAUUCACGGUUAGUAUCACUAGACUUAUAUAUAUCGACCGGGAUAUGAACCGUGAUUAUAUAUAUACUUACCUUUCACAUCCUUUGUAUUUUUUACCUUUUCUAUUUUAAUAUCGGGAAAACAAUACAAAAGGUAAUCACGGUUCAUAUCCCGGUCGAUAUAAGUCUAGUAAAUUAAAACUAUUAGAGGAAGGUAGAUAUAGUCCUACCCGUAUUUAUUUAUUUUAUUUAUAUAUAAAUAAAUAACUCAUAUGUUAGUUACGUGUGUGGUGUAAUAAAUAAUAACCACUCACAUGCUUUUGGUAACGUAGCUACCAGCUGUCACCCUUAUUUUAUUAUAAUAAUAGAGGUCACUGAAAAAUAUCAAGCAUGUGAGUGGAUAAACAAAUUCGUGAUAUUGAAAUGAUGAUACAUAUAUUUCUAGCUAUGUAAGUAAUUUAUGUUCAACACAGGCAAAUAAUCAAUAAAACUUUACCAGCCUUGA